rnacentral:lncRNA from 1 species
UGGUUGUGAUUGCCUUAUCUAUUUUGUGAUAGCUAUCGCCUAGCAGGCUUUGAAUUUUGAGCUAGUAUGCCAAAUUGAUAUCGAUGAGCUGAAGUCUGGUUGGUCAUGACUAGAAGUUGAAUGCUCUUUACCAUCCUCAGAUGAGAAAGUCAAGAGUUGGGGACUCAUUCGAUAGUGGAAGGUCAGUCGAUCGGAUGUGAUCGGUUGAAGACCAUCAUCUGAUCAGAGCUAAUCAUUUGAGUAUGUUGAUGACUCUUCAGCCCAGCCUAU